AGCGAACGCUGGCGGCAGGCCUAACACAUGCAAGUCGAACGGAUCCUUCGGGAUUAGUGGCGGACGGGUGAGUAACACGUGGGAACGUGCCCUUUGGUUCGGAACAACUCAGGGAAACUUGAGCUAAUACCGGAUGUGCCCUUCGGGGGAAAGAUUUAUCGCCAUUGGAGCGGCCCGCGUCUGAUUAGCUAGUUGGUGAGGUAAAGGCUCACCAAGGCGACGAUCAGUAGCUGGUCUGAGAGGAUGAUCAGCCACAUUGGGACUGAGACACGGCCCAAACUCCUACGGGAGGCAGCAGUGGGGAAUCUUGCGCAAUGGGCGAAAGCCUAACGCAGCCAUGCCGCGUGAAUGAUGAAGGUCUUAGGAUUGUAAAAUUCUUUCACCGGGGACGAUAAUGACGGUAUCCGGAGAAGAAGCCCCGGCUAACUUCGUGCCAGCCGCCGCCGUAAUAC
rnacentral:rRNA from 1 species